AUGGGUACUGCUUUGUGCCUGGUGGUGCUGCUACUGCUGCUUGUCAAUGCUCCGGCUUCUGAGGCAGCGGACGACGACGACGAGCAGCUGCUGGAGCGGUUCAAGGAGGCGGUACGCAACCGCGGGGAGCUCAGGGGAUGGACCCGCGGCGACGGCGCCUGCAGGUUCCCCGGAGCGGCAUGCGUCACGGGAGGGAGGAGCAUCGUGUCGCUCUCCCUGGUGGGCGUCCAACUCGACGUUGAUUUCAGCGCCGUCGCCGGCGCACUGCUGCAACUGGGUGGCGUCGAGGUCGUCAGCCUGCGAGGUGUCAACGUCAGCGGCUCGCUCGGGAGCGGCGGCGGCGGCGGCGCCGGAGGGUGGAGGUGCGGCCAGAAGCUGGCUCAGCUCGACCUGUCCGGGAACAUCAUGCUGCGUGGAUCCGUUGCUGAUGCUCGCGCUCUCGCCGGCGCGUGCGAAGGACUGCGGGAGCUGAACCUGUCUGGUAACGCACUCGUUGGCGGUGGCGGUAACGGCGGGAAGGGAGAUGGCGGGGACAUCUUUGCCCGCCUGGAUGUCCUUGACCUGUCAGACAACAACAUCACUGGCGACGGCGAGCUCAGCUUGAUGGGUGGUGUCCGCCGGCUGAACCUCGCCGGGAACAAAAUCUCAGGUGCUCUCCCGGUCCCGGUAUUCCCCAAUUGCUCCAGAAUGGAGGCACUUGAUCUGUCUAGAAAUUUAAUCUCCGGUGAGGUGCUGCCUGGGGUCCUGUCUGGCUGCACUGCUCUUGCUUCGCUCAACCUCUUCAGCAACCACUUGGAGGGCGCUUUCCCGCUGGACAACGCGUUCCCGGCGCCGCUCUCCUACCUCAACCUGUCGAACAACAACUUCUCCGGUGAGCUCCCUGCCGAUGCAUUCAUUGGGCUCCCGCGUCUCUCGUCGCUCUCUUUGUCCUUCAACCACUUCAGCGGCGCCGUGCCUGACUCUCUAGGCAGACUUGCCGAGCUCAGGGUGCUGGACCUUAGCUCGAACGCGCUCGCUGGAGCUAUACCGCCCUCACUCUGCCCGAGUACCGGCAACAAGUCCAAGCUCGAGGUGCUCUACCUGCAGAACAACUACCUCACCGGCGUCAUCCCGCCGACGAUCUCCGACUGUGAAAGCCUCGAGUCUCUAGACCUCAGCCUUAACUACAUCAAUGGAUCCAUCCCCGCCUCCCUCGGCAGCCUUAGCCGGCUCCGGGACCUCAUCCUGUGGGAGAACAAACUGCAGGGUGAGAUCCCCACGUCGCUAGCCAGUGCUCGCCGACUCGAAAACUUCAUCCUUGAGUACAAUGGUCUCACAGGCAACAUCCCAUCGGAAUUUGUGAACUGCAAGAACCUGAGAUGGAUAGCGCUCGGAAGCAAUCAGCUCUCUGGAUCGGUGCCGGCAUGGCUGGGGCAGCUAGACAACCUUACAAUCUUGAAGCUCAACAACAACUCUUUCUCAGGGAAGAUACCGCCGGAGCUAGGAGACUGCAAGAGUUUGGUUUGGCUGGAUCUGAACGACAACCAGCUUAGUGGAUCGAUUCCACCGGAACUGGCAAAGCAGUCCGGCAAGAUGAACGUCGGCCUCGUCGUCGGGCGGCCAUACGUAUACCUGCGCAACGACGAGCUGAGCAGCAAAUGUCGCGGCAAGGGGAGCUUGCUCGAGUUCGCCAGCAUCCGUUCCGAAGAUCUAAACAGGAUGGCUAGCAAGAAGCUGUGCAACUUCACACGAAUGUACAUGGGCAGCACACAGUACACUUCCAAUCUCAAUGGCUCCAUGAUAUUCUUGGACCUGUCAUUUAACAAGCUCGACUCCGAGAUACCCAAGGAACUUGGGGCGAUGUACUAUCUGAUGAUCAUGAAUCUUGGGCACAAUAUGCUUUCUGGUGCCAUCCCAGACGAGCUUGCAGGUGCCAAGAAACUGGCUGUGCUUGACCUGUCACACAACCGGUUGGAAGGCCCAAUCCCCACUUCAUUUUCAUCACUAUCAUUUUCGGAGAUUGAUCUAUCAUACAAUAGGCUGAAUGGGUCAAUACCGGAGCUGGGAUCCCUUGCCACUUUCCCGGAGAGCCAAUAUGAGAACAACUCAGGCUUGUGCGGUUUCCCUCUGCCUAUGUGUCAACCAUCUUCUCAGCACCACCCCCCACUAGUAAGCAACACCUUCAGUAAUAAGUACCAUCUGAUAAAAAUCCUACUCCCAACUAUCACACUAGUUUUUGUUGUUAUUGCUAUUUUCUUAUACUACCAAUCGAUGAGAAACAAACUCAAGAAAAGCAGGAUCAAAGCUUCCGAUGAUCCGACAGAUCCAGCAAACCAUCAGUUAAUCUCACAUCUUGAGCUUGUGCGCGCCACUAAUAAUUUCAGUGAAGACAACAUGUUGGGAUCUGGAGGGUGUGGAAAGGUAUUCAAGGGACAGUUGAGCAGUGGUUUGGUGGUUGCAAUUAAGGUUCUUGACAUGCGGUCCAAGCAUGCCUUUAGAAGCUUCGACGCAGAGUGUCGUGUGCUUCGCAUGGCGCGGCACCGCAACCUGAUACAAAUAGUCAACACAUGUUCUAACAUGGAUUUCAGAGCGUUGGUGUUAGAGUACAUGCCCAAUGGUAACUUAGAUGCACUACUUCACUUCUCACAAGGGGGCGAGAGACAAUUCGGGUUCCGUCAGAGGCUGCAGGUUAUGCUCGAGGUGUCGAUGGCAAUGGAUUAUCUACACCAUGAUUACCAUGAAACUGUUUUGCAUUGCGACUUGAAGCCAAGCAAUGUGUUGUUUGACGAGGACAUGAUUGUGCAUGUGGCUGAUUUUGGCAUUGCAAGACUACUACAAGCUGAUGAUAGCUCUGUGUUCUCCUUGAGCAUGCAUGGCACUACUGGGUACAUGUCACCAGAGUAUGGGUUGUAUGGGAAAGCAUCACGAAAUAGCGAUGUAUUCAGCUACGGAAUCAUGCUCCUUGAAGUCUUCACUGGAAAGAGGCCGACAGAUGCUAUGUUUGUUGGAGGACUGGGCCUUAGACGAUGGGUUCACCAGUUAUUUCAGGCGAAUCAGCUUGUCCAUGCCGUGGAUAGACGGCUGCUGCAAUGCUCCGACAUGGACAUUGGUUUUCUUGCCCCAAUACUGGAGGUUGGUUUGCUCUGCUCCAGUGACUCGCCACGCGAUAGGAUAACGAUGAGCGAUGUAGUCUUGAGGCUGAACAAGAUCGAAGCAGAGUAUGCUAAAAAUACAACAUCUACUUCAGGAAGUGCGUCACAGUGA
rnacentral:rRNA from 1 species